GAUGAAGAACGUAGCGAAAUGCGAUACUUGGUGUGAAUUGCAGAAUCCCGUGAACCAUCGAGUCUUUGAACGCAAGUUGCGCCCGAAGCCACUAGGCCGAGGGCACGCCUGCCUGGGCGUCACACGUCGUUCCCCCCCCAUCUACUCCUUCGGGAUUGCGGGGGGCGGAUGAUGGCCUCCCGUGCGCCUCGCCGCGCGGUUGGCAUAAAUACCAAGUCCUCGGCGACGCACGCCACGACAAUCGGUGGUUGCGAAACCUCGGUUGCCCGUCGUGUGCGGUCGUCGCGCAUCGAGGGCUCGAAAAAAUUGCCGGGCUCCGGCUCGGCUUUCAACGCGACCCCAGGUCAGGCGGGGUUACCCGCUGAAUUUAAGCAUAUCAAUAAGCGGAGGA
rnacentral:misc_RNA from 1 species